rnacentral:rRNA from 1 species
UACGGAAGGGGCAAGCGUUGUUCGGAAUCAUUGGGCGUAAAGGGCGUGUAGGCGGUCCGCUAAGUCUGAUGUGAAAGCCCGGGGCUCACCCCCGGAAGUGCAUUGGAAACUGACGGACUCGAGUCCCGGAGAGGAGGGUGGAAUUCCUGGUGUAGCGGUGAAAUGCGUAGAUAUCAGGAGGAACACCGGUGGCGAAGGCGGCCCUCUGGACGGUGACUGACGCUGAGACGCGAAAGCGUGGGGAGCAAACAGG